UACGGAGGAUCCGAGCGUUAUCCGGAUUUAUUGGGUUUAAAGGGAGCGUAGAUGGAUGUUUAAGUCAGUUGUGAAAGUUUGCGGCUCAACCGUAAAAUUGCAGUUGAUACUGGAUGUCUUGAGUGCAGUUGAGGCAGGCGGAAUUCGUGGUGUAGCGGUGAAAUGCUUAGAUAUCACGAAGAACUCCGAUUGCGAAGGCAGCCUGCUAAGCUGCAACUGACAUUGAGGCUCGAAAGUGUGGGUAUCAAACAGG
rnacentral:rRNA from 2 species